rnacentral:rRNA from 1 species
GAUGAACGCUGGCGGCGUGCCUAACACAUGCAAGUCGAACGAACAGACGAGGAGCUUGCUCCUCUGACGUUAGCGGCGGACGGGAGAGUAACACGUGUAUACCCUACCUAUCAGACUGGGAUAACUUCGGGAAUCCGGAGCUAAUACCGGAUAAUAUAUUGAACCGCAUGGUUCAAUAGUGAAAGACGGCUUUGCUGUCUCGUAUCGAUGCAUACGAGCCGCAUUAGAUAGUUGGUCAGGUAGCGGCUUACCAAGGCAACGAGGCGUAGCCGACGGGAGAGAGUGGUCGGCGACACGGGAGGGGAGACACGGUCCUGGGGCCUGCGGGAGGCAGCAGUAGGGAAUCGUACGCAGUGGGCGAGAGCCUGACGGAACAACGCGGCGUGAGUUAUAAAGGCGCUGGGUGCGUAAAGCUCUGUUAUUGGGGAAGAACAAAUUUGUAAUUAACUAUGCACGGCUUGACGGUACCGAGUCAGGAAGCCACGGCUAACUACGUG